rnacentral:rRNA from 1 species
AGCAGCCGCGGUAAUUCCAGCUCCAAUAGCGUAUAUUAAAGUUGUUGCAGUUAAAAAGCCCGUAGUUGAAUUUCGGGAUCAAUAUGUCGGUUGUGCUUUUUGGUACGUACUGGGGUCAUUGGUUUCUCCUUUCUGACGAACCAUGAUGUCAUUAAUUUGGUGUUAUGGGGAGUUAGGACUGUUACUUUGAAAAAAUUAGAGUGUUUAAAGCAGGCAUUAGCUUGAAUACAUUAGCAUGGAAUAAUGAAAUAGGACGUUCGAUCCUAUUUUGUUGGCUUCUAGGAUCAACGUAAUGAUUAAUAGGGAUAGUUGGGGGCAUUAGUAUUCAAUUGUCAGAGGUGAAAUUCUUGGAUUUAUUGAAGACUAACUACUGCGAAAGCAUUUGCCAAGGAUGUUUUCAUUAAUCAAGAACGAAAGUUAGGGGAUCGAAGACGAUCAGAUACCGUCGUAGUCUUAACCAUAAACUAUGCCGACUAGGGAUCGGAUGAUGUUAAUUUUUUAAUGACUCAUUCGGCGACCG